UCCGAGUUGACCCCGGCAGUCUCCUAUGAGUUCCCACCAUGACGUGCUGGCAACAUAGAACGAGGGUUGCGCUCGUUGCGGGACUUAACCCAACAUCUCACGACACGAGCUGACGACAACCAUGCACCACCUGUGAAGCGCCCUUGCGGACCCGACAUCUCUGCCGGUAAACGCCCCAUGUCAAGCCUUGGUAAGGUUCUUCGCGUUGCAUCGAAUUAAUCCGCAUGCUCCGCCGCUUGUGCGGGCCCCCGUCAAUUCCUUUGAGUUUUAGCCUUGCGGCCGUACUCCCCAGGCGGGGCGCUUAAUGCGUUAGCUGCGGUACAGAACACGUGGAAUGUGCCCCACACCUAGCGCCCAACGUUUACGGCAUGGACUAC
rnacentral:misc_RNA from 1 species